AUGGAGAAUCUGGUUACAUAACAAUAAACUCGUCUUUUGUGCAAUUUGGACCACCACCUAAGAAUUCCCCAGCCAGAAGGAUAUUCAAUAGUCAAACCACAAUCCACAAAAGGGUACAUAAUUCAAGGAGAACAAAUAUUUCCUUCUGAUUAUUGCUGAUUCAAUUAAAGUAAAUACUUGAAAUCCUAGGCCAUAACUGUUAUAAAAAUAUAUUAAAAAUGAUCAAUAUACCAAAUACACUUCAGCACAUUUCCAAGAAAACAUGAUUAAUUAUCUCACUUUCCAAGAAUUUUCUCACGAAAACCUAACCUCAGUCCUCAUAUAAUA
rnacentral:misc_RNA from 1 species